rnacentral:rRNA from 1 species
AUACGGAGGAUCCGAGCGUUAUCCGGAUUUACUGGGUUUAAAGGGUGCGCAGGCGGCCAUUUAAGUCAGCGGUUAAAUCGUGGGGCUCAACCCCAUUCUGCCGUUGAUACUGGGUGGCUUGAUUGCGGUCGAGGUUGGCGGAAUUCGUUGUGUAGCGGUGAAAUGCAUAGAUAUGACGAAGAACACCGAUUGCGUAGGCAGCUGACCAGACCGCAAAUGACGCUCAUGCACGAAAGUGCGGGGAUCGAACAGGAUUAGAUACCCUGGUAGUCCGCACAGUAAACGAUGAAUACUUGUUUUCGGCGAUAUAAUGUCGGAGGCAAAGCGAAAGCGAUAAGUAUUCCACCUGGGGAGUACGCCGGCAAUGGUGAAACUCAAAUGAAUUGACGGGG